GGUUGCCAGACUGACUCACCACAGCUGUGUAGUGUCGGUACACAGCUAUCAGUGAGGACACUUCAGGCACACUACAGUGCAGACUGUAACUCGCUGCACUACAUUACAAUGAAAACGCUGGUUGUCAACAAGCCACAUCAGCAGCAGGUCAUCAACUGUUCAAAGUGAACUUUCCAAAGGCGAGGAAAGGAGAAUGCAGGGUCAAACCAGUGAAGACAAAACCAACAUUCCGGCAUGUGGAUGACCUGGUGGACCUUAUAUUUGAGAAGGUCAUUGUGGACACUGCACCAUAGGUUGAUGAGGUCUUGAGGAUCCCCAUACCACACCGGACCUGUGUGCGGAGUACGAGUGGCCAGACAAAGAGGAGGUCAUCUUCAGCACAGUGUCUAGAUUUAAUCAAAAGGCACUUUAAAAACAACAUUGCUGCCCUGGGCAUCUGGAAACUCCAGGCGAAUCCUCAGCACCACACAGGCUGGAAUCACUACACGUAUUUGCCAUCCAAGGAAACCCCAGCACCAGCUCAAAAAUCUGUGAUAUGGCAAAAACCUAUAACGACUAAUACAAAGGGACAUUUAUACACAUAUGUGACAGGGCGGAGGGCGGGGCCGGGUCGUGAUCAUACACACCCGGUCCCUUAUCAGGCUAAUCAAGCCUCCGAGAGGGAUAAAGGCAGACUGCAGAGGAUUGUGCGGGAGAGAGAGAUAGUUUACGGACAUGUCCGUCAUAUGUGUGUUUGUUGUCUUUAAGUUUAUAAUUAAACUAUUAUUUAUAUUGUCAAGCCGGUUCUCGCCUCCUCCUUUCCAUUGACUACAUUACAACAUAGUCUUAGAAGACAUUCCUAUUCCUUAAACAGCUAUACAUUACCUAGGAUUUGGAGAAGUCUAUAGUGUGUUUUAUUUGCACAUUAGCUUGUAAUGACUUUGUUAAUAAAAAC